rnacentral:rRNA from 1 species
GACGAACGCUGGCGGCGUGCCUAAUACAUGCAAGUCGAACGCUUCUUACUUAUCGAACUUCGGUUCACCAAGUAAGAAGAGUGGCGAACGGGUGAGUAACACGUGGGUAACCUGCCCAUCAGAGGGGGAUAACACUUGGAAACAGGUGCUAAUACCGCAUAAUUCUCUUUGUCGCAUGAUAGAAAGAUGAAAGGCGCUUUUGCGUCACUGAUGGAUGGACCCGCGGUGCAUUAGCUAGUUGGUAGGGUAAUGGCUUACCAAGGCAACGAUGCAUAGCCGACCUGAGAGGGUGAUCGGCCACACUGGGACUGAGACACGGCCCAGACUCCUACGGGAGGCAGCAGUAGGGAAUCUUCGGCAAUGGACGAAAGUCUGACCGAGCAACGCCGCGUGAGUGAAGAAGGUUUUCGGAUCGUAAAACUCUGUUGUUAGAGAAGAACAAGGAUGAGAGUAAAAUGUUCAUCCCUUGACGGUAUCUAACCAGAAAGCCACGGCUAACUACGUGCCAGCCGCCGCCGUAA